rnacentral:rRNA from 1 species
CAGCCGCCGCGGUAAUACGAGGGGGGCAAGCGUUGUUCGGAAUUAUUGGGCGUAAAGGGUGCGUAGGCGGCUUGACAAGUCUUGUGUGAAAUCUAUGGGCUCAACCCAUAGUCUGCACGGGAAACUGUCGGGCUUGAGAAUGGGAGAGAUGAGUGGAAUUUCCGGUGUAGCGGUGAAAUGCGUAGAUAUCGGAAGGAACACCUGUGGCGAAAGCGGCUCACUGGACCAUUUCUGACGCUGAUGCACGAAAGCUAGGGGAGCAAACAGGAUUAGAUACCCCUGUAGUCCCUGUCUCUUAUAC